UGCACAAUUUAUCUCUUCACCAUACUUGUCAUCAGGAACUCCAAAAGCAACAGCCUGAGCAAUUUCCGGAUGAGAAGCUAGGACUGCAUCCACUUCAAUAGGUGAUAUUUUCUCUCCUCCACGGUUGAUCAACUCCUUGAUUCUGCCAACCAAAUGCAAGUAUCCAUCAGAGUCCAAAUAACCCACGUCUCCGGUAUGAAACCAACCAAACUGGAAAGCUGAUUUAUUAGCCUCUGGAUUGUUCUUGUACCCUUUCGUCACAUUUGGACCCCGAAUACAAACUUCCCCCUUAGCAUUAGGCCCUUGUACAACACCAUUUUCAUUCAAUAUCGCCAUCUCUUGACCCACGGGUUUCCCUACCGACCCGGGAAUAUGAGGUCCAUCCUCAGGUAAUGGGUUGGAAGCCAUCAAAUGAGUUGCCUCUGUCAUUGCAUAUGCCUCCAAAACAGGAGCCCCAAAUGCUUCUUCUAACCGGGCCAUCACUGAUGGAGCCAGUGCUGCACUACAGCUCCGAAUGAACCGGAGCUUUGGGUAAUCAGAUUCGGGUUUGUUGAGGUGACGAUCCAACAGAAUUUGGUGAAUUGUAGGCACAGCUGUAUACCAUGUUGCGUUGUAUUUUUUCAUGUCUGACCAAAAAGUUGUACCGGAAAAUCUCCCGGCAGAUGGAAGUGUCACGGAUGCUCCGGCUCCUAGUGAACUCAGUAACCCGGCCAUUAACCCGUGAACGUGAAACAACGGCAACACAAUAACCGUCGAAUCGGAGUCACAGAGUUUGUACACAGAUUUGAUAUUGUUCACUGAAGAUACCAAAUUAAGCUGAGAAAGAGGAACGCCUUUUGGCCGGCUCGUGGUGCCUGAUGUAUGAAGGAAAAGUCCAAUAUCCGAUGGGUCGUUAACGAUUUCGGCCGCCGAUUCAACGUUCGAUUCAGGAGGAGCCGGGGAGUAAACAAUAUCAGAUUCGGCUUCCGGCAGAGCUACAGUCAUAUGUGGGAUUUUCAGUUUGGAGGCGGCGGCUUGAGCCGCUUCAUUUCCUUCUUUUGCAGUUAUUAAGAGUUUCGAUUCUGAAUCAGAUAAAUAAAACUCAAAUUCUUCUGCCAUAUACGCUGAAUUCAGUGGCGCCGCCGUGGCUCUAACUCGAAUUACAGCUAAAAACAUGAUCACGAACUCGAUUGUGUUUGGGAAAGUGAGAGCGAUAACAUCGCCAUGCUUAACACCGGCAGAUACAAGGUGAGAAGCAGCACGUUCAACAAGUUGUUGAAGGCGUGCAUGAGUAAUAUCAAACUUGCCGGAAGUGGAAAUCGCACGGCGAGAAGGGAAUUUCUCAGCAACAUGUUUCAAUAAUCCAGUGAGCGUCAUACUCUCCAUUAGCAAAAUCAAUAACCACGAAAAGCAAACGAAUAUUGAUACUGAAUUGUAAAUGAAAAUAAAUGAAA
rnacentral:misc_RNA from 1 species